rnacentral:lncRNA from 1 species
GAGAUGGAUGGAGAAUUAUUUACCGUUUCAGAGCAGGAUUGUGCCAGCGCAUCUGAAUCUGGCUGGAGGAAUGAGACGGGAAAAAGGAAAGGAAAACAAGGGGAGAAAAGAAAGAUGAAUCAACAAAAUAGUAGCAAGAAGAAAAUAGCCAGAAGUAAAAACUCUAGGCUUCCAGACCUGAAGAAGAUGAAUGCUGAAUCAGUUAUGAAGCAGAUUAAGCCAGAAUGUGAACUGAAGGAAAUCUGCUCAGAAACUGAUUUUAAUGAAGAUGACAGAAAGAGAAUGAAAGAACAAAGGAAAAAGCAAAGAUGCUUCAAGCAGAGUAACAACAAGAGGCCAUUUUCACACCAAAUGUCCAGUGUAAACAGGCAGACCAAGAAUAAAAAUGACACGGGUAAAUUAUGACGUGUUUGUUCGAUCGAGUGAUGAUCCUGUUCUACAAACUAACCGAACUCUCCUUCAUCAUCUCCAUCUCCUAUUUACUUAUUUUUUUUUUUUUUUUUUUAGGGGUUUAGACCUAACAGAUGUCUUUCAAGAAGUCAGAAAUAAGAAACAACUGGCUGUUCGUUGUGGAAAAAUGGCAGGUUGUCUGUACAGAAUAAAAUAUGACAAUGGUAAGUUUUGGGAGGACAAAAAUAAUUAUUUAUUGUAUUUAUUUUUCACAUUGUGAGAAAUUAAAUUGCAGAUGUAGUUUUUUAAAGUCAGAUUGAAAUGAGAUUUAACUAAUGUAGAGUGUCAUUAAUAAAUAAACACACAUACACUACAUGUCCAAAAGUAUUGGGACACUUCACUAUUACACUUUGACUUUAAUUACAUUAGCAGUUUUCAUCCGUAGUCCCUUUUGGCAGGUUGAUGUUAAGGACAGGACAAGCAAUAUUUAUACACCAAAUUAUGAACAGAGAGAAAAUAUGAAAACAGAAGGAAAACAUUAUAUUGAAAUGCAAAAUUACAAACUACCAUAUCCAUAUCAAAAUUUUGAUGGAUCAAUAACCAUAUUUUCAGUUUUUUUCGAGAAACCACAGUGUCCUGUUCAAUGUUUUUAUUCUUUCAGCUCUACUGGGAGUCUAUUCGACUCAUGUGUUCCUCUGAAAGCAAAAAAUAAUUGACCAAAGGUAGUGUUUCUUAAUGGCAUGUUACAGUCACCUCUAAUACUGGCUUGUGUAUACCGUAGGGUGACCACCCGUCCCGCGUAGCGCGUGCGCGCACAGCUUUUGAAGCCCAAUUCAUGCGUCCCGCAAAUUGAGACCGUGCCACGCAUAAUGCUUGCUCAAAAAAAAAGUUGGUCGCUCUAUAUCCUCGAGCCCCAGGCAGCCAAACGAACAUUACUUGACAGUUCAGCACGCUACUGUUGCCACACCCACCCCUCAGUUGAACUGCUGACUAGGUUGUUGUCUAACUUUUUCGUUGUUGUCAUGACAGCGCACGCACGUGCAUACCAGACACACUGGUUAGGAAGUUUUAGAUGCGCGCUUUCCAAUUACGAAAAAUGGAGAAAGAGACUGAGUCUGAGGCACCACCAUCAUCAAUUAAAAAGAGAAGGUGUGGGUACAAGAAAGACUGGGAAAAUGAAUAUUUGUGGCUGAAAGGUGUUGAAGGGGAUACCGAGAGGGCUUUUUGUGACCUUAGCAAAACGUCCUUCUCAAUCGGACAUGGAGGGGAAUACGAUGUCAAACGACACAGACACUUAUGUAGUGAAAGAGAAGGUUUUCCUCAAUGCUGUACGCUCCAACAAGAAAUAUAAGUUCAAGAAGAAACCUGAAGGUAAGAAACCUAGUUAUGUAAGACCCCAUUUGUCUAAGAUAAAGUUUGAUUGAUUUUGAACAUUGGUGGACUGUCUACAGAGGUGCAAAUGUGUCACUUUUAGGAAACAGUAGCCUUUUAGGUCAAAAUAUGUCAUUGUUUUGCAUAGGAUUGUACCUUGGCACCUUUUUGUAUUGUUGUCACCUUGUGAUGGUGAUGGGUUUGCACUCCUCUGUCCUAAAGGUGUCCCCAGAACACUGAACAGUUUUUUUUUCCUGCACCUUACUAACAGGCAAGUUAACCAUCCUUCAUCCCCCUUCUCAUUCCGUGAACCUCUGGAGUUGUGAGUUAAGACUUUUUUUUUUUAACUGUUCCUGUGGUGUUGAGCAACUACAAUUCCUGUUAAUCCUAUAAUUUUUUUAUUAUAAUUUAUUUAAAGUGAAUAAAUUGUAAUGAAAAAUAAAUAAAAUUAAAUAGCUAAAGUAAAUCGUAAGUGGAAGUGCAUCUGUCAAUUCAUUGAAUGUUCAAAAUAUUAUGAAUCUUUAUUUAGAAAAAAAUACACAUUGGUUGGCCUACUCAUGAGCAUACAUCAGCAAUUACACAUGUUUAGGGGAAUAGGGCAUUAUUAAUAUACAAUGUAAGGUGGUAUGUGCUAGAAAUGGGUAAACCACUAUCAGUGAGUCUGCCCGUGGGGUGGGGGCACCGCCGCGCCAGGCAGUGUCCCACAUUUGUCCCUCAGAAACAUACCCCUUGUCCCCCCUUGGGCUUAAUAGCAGGUGGUCACCCUAGUAUACCGUCCUGUUAUCUGAUCUAUGUAAUCCUUAAAAACAGGUGGAGCUAAACCAUUUAAGAUCUUAAAAACAAGUACCAAAUCAGCAAAUUGAAUCAAAUGUUCCCAACUUAAAAUAGAAAACUUAGUUAAGAUGCUACAAUGGUGAAAAGGUUUUUUUUUUUUUUUUUUUUUUUUUUUUUUUUAUAAUUAGUUGAUGAUUUCCAGUAAUUACAUUUUUUAAAAUGGUGUCUUGCCUUAAGAAAAAAGACAAUUCUUAAGACAAAAUUAAGUUACCAGUGUAAAGCAACCCCAUGACAAGUAUUUUAUACAUAGACAUAUACAUAUUAUAAAAUAUCUCAGAACUUAAGAAUUUUUUAAAGAAUAGCAACUUUUAACUUCUUAAAGUUUUUUUUUAUUUUUGUAUUUUCAGAAAUCUAGCUCAUGACUGGCACUUAAAGACAAUAAAAAAAAAACAAAAAAAAGUUUUACAGAAACACAAAUGCACAGCAGGCUUGAUGAACAGAUGCUUUUAUUUGAAAACUGCCCUGCUACAUACAAU